UUCAAGAUUGAGAUCCAAAACCUCCCAAGACAUUUUGGAUUUGCGCAACUGAAGAAGAUGUUGACUGGUCUGCAACUGAAACCCAAGAAAGUCGAGGCAGUCAACAAGGCAACCUAUGCUUUUGUGACAUUCAGCUGCCAAGAAGAUAAGGAGGAGGCAUUGAAAGUACUCAACGGACACAAAUGGAAAGGACAAGUGCUCAAAGCCAAGGUUAAACAACACGGUAACUCCACUGUGGAACCAGCCAUAUGAGGACCAGCUAUCCACCAAACAGACCAACACCAGGGAGUUUCUGAGGAAUUUAUCCAAGAUGCUGCAACGAAACAUUGGGGAGAUGUCUCCCUGGCUGAAGCAACAAAGAUAACACUGCUGGUUUCCGGCUUCGUGCUUACAAAGGUCUUGACCCACAAGAUAACCAUUCCACCAGCACCUCUGACGUAACGGUGACUGGCACUGCCAUAACAGAUCCUUAUCACUAUCUGACGCAACAGCACUUCACGUCAGAGAUCUUCAAGAUUGAGAUCCAAAACCUCCCAAGACACUUUGGAUUUGCGGUUCCCAUCUGAAGUCCAUCCAGAUGAUCCUUAAUAAGACAGCAGACGAUACAGGCAUCGACUCCAACACCCUGGCCUUACAGAUGAAGGCCCAUCCUGAGCUGAGGGACAAGCUUCAUGUCAUCACCUCAUUUGGGCCUUUGCCUGUCUACCCUGGGGUGGUCAACUCAGAAUUACCUGAGGAAGUACGGUAGCUGUCCUCACGGAGGCUACGGUCUCGGACUGGAACGAUUCUUGACCUGGAUCCUAAACCACAUGCAUAUCAGGGACGUCUGCUUCUACCCACGCUUCAUAAAACGAUGCACGCCAUAGAUGCGUCAACAUGUCGCCUUCAAUUCCUGAUUCUAAGCAUUGCUUAUUUGGUGUGGGAAAUCAAGAUUAAUUAGGGGUGGGGCUAGGUUGAUCAAGUGGGGGGGGGGGGUUUGAUUGUAUGCCCUAAGAUGGAAUUCCUGGAGAUAAUUUUGCCAUUGUAUUGUAAGGUAUUUCUUCAAGGUGCAGUUUUACACUUUCUUCACAGUUUGCUCUUUUAGUUUCAAGUAAUUUGGGUUUUUUUACUAAAACUCAACAAUUUGCAAGGGUUAACCUUACAUUUUUUACGAAAUUUGGCCAAAACAGGACUUGCCUCCAAAUGACUGAAGACUUAUUUUUUUUGUCCUCAGGCAAGUUUCUGCAAGUUUCCUGCAAGUUUCAAGCAAUCUCAAUUUUUUGCAAUAAUUAAAAUAGAAUAUAUGUUUACUAAAGUUUUCUCAGAAGACAAUUUCUCUAAAACAACAGUCCUUUCUUUGAACUUUAUCAUGUUUUCUUAAGAAAUUCCUUCUAAAAUAUUCUCAAUAACCAAGUGCUGAAUAGUUACUUUAAUUUCUCAUUAAGUUGCAUGUAUUUUACAAAUAUUAUCAUGUAUCACUUCAAGUAUCUUUCUUUCCUUUCAACUGGGUAUGUAACUGUCUACAACAAAUAUAUUUGAAUGCAAAACAUGUUUUUCUCUUCAAAAUGAAAAGAAAAUUGAAAAAUUAUGUCAAAUUUUUGUUCAAAUUAUCCGUUAUUUCCCCACUGAUAAAAAUCCAUGUUCAAAGCUUUGGAGACAUAUUCAUUUCUUUUCAGUACUCAAAGUUUAUAUUGUUGACUUGCUUUUUCAAAAAUGUCUACCAUAUCUAUCACAAGCCCGCAGUUUAUUGAUCCAACAUGCACUCUUUAACUCGACUUCAAAAAUACAAGUCGACGAGAAAUCUAUUUAAACAAACUUGCCGUGCGUCUGAUUUAUCAAUUGCAAAACCGUUUGCCCUCUUUAAUAUAAAUAGGUCUGCUCAGAGUAUGUACAAGUAUGUUCAAUCAAAGUAACAAAAGGAAAUUUGAACUGCAUGUGACAGUACAAGUUUUUUUAACAUUGUUUCAUUUUGUCUUACAAAUAUUGCUGUCCAAAUUCACGCUCUGGUUUUUGGAAAUGAUUGCAUUUUUCAGUGAUUAUUACAAGGUUAACACUGGAUUUGUUUGUCUUGUUGUUUUAUUUCUUGCUUUGAUUCAAAUGAUUUUCUAGUUUAAGGUUUCUGAAAUGAAUGGAUUGAAUAAAAUUGCAGAGUGCAACUACUAAGCUCUAUG